rnacentral:tRNA from 1 species
GGGUGUCUAUUAUAAUUAAAAGUAUUUUCGUUUUAAGCGCGAAGGGUAGACAUCAA